rnacentral:rRNA from 1 species
GACGAACGCUGGCGGCGUGCCUAAUACAUGCAAGUCGAGCGAGAUUAUUUGAGUGCUUGCACUCAAAUAAUCUAGCGGCGGACGGGUGAGUAACACGUGGGCAACCUGCCCUACAGUUUGGGAUAACUCCGGGAAACCGGGGCUAAUACCGAAUAAUCCUUCGAAUCACAUGGUUUGAAGUUGAAAGGCGCUUCGGCGUCGCUGUAGGAUGGGCCCGCGGUGCAUUAGCUAGUUGGUGGGGUAAUGGCCUACCAAGGCAACGAUGCAUAGCCGACCUGAGAGGGUGAUCGGCCACAUUGGGACUGAGACACGGCCCAAACUCCUACGGGAGGCAGCAGUAGGGAAUCUUCCACAAUGGACGAAAGUCUGAUGGAGCAACGCCGCGUGAGUGAUGAAGGUUUUCGGAUCGUAAAACUCUGUUGUAAGGGAAGAACAAGUGCGUUAGGUAAUGAACGCACCUUGACGGUACCUUAUUAGAAAGCCACGGCUAACUACGUGCCAGCCGCCGCAGUAACAC